rnacentral:rRNA from 1 species
ACGUACACUCCUGCGGGAGGCAGCAGUGGGGAAUAUUGGACAAUGGGCGCAAGCCUGAUCCAGCCAUGCCGCGUGAGUGAUGAAGGCCCUAGGGUUGUAAAGCUCUUUCACCGGUGAAGAUAAUGACGGUAACCGGAGAAGAAGCCCCGGCUAACUUCGUGCCAGCAGCCGCGGUAAUACGAAGGGGGCUAGCGUUGUUCGGAUUUACUGGGCGUAAAGCGCACGUAGGCGGACUAUUAAGUCAGGGGUGAAAUCCCGGGGCUCAACCCCGGAACUGCCUUUGAUACUGGUAGUCUUGAGUUCGAGAGAGGUGAGUGGAAUUCCGAGUGUAGAGGUGAAAUUCGUAUAUAUUCGGAGGAACACCAGUGGCGAAGGCGGCUCACUGGCUCGAUACUGACGCUGAGGUGCGAAAGCGUGGGGAGCAAACAGGAUUAGAUACCCCGGUAGUCCCAUGAU